rnacentral:misc_RNA from 1 species
AGUUCCAAAAGAAUAAAAGAGAACGAAAAAACAAAUGCCAGAGUUUGUGUUAUAUUUUUACAUUCUGUUAACAAGGCCUUUGAAUUUGUGAAGAACUCUCCUCUCCUUUCUCUUUUUUGCUUUCCCCCCUCAUAUAUAGACAUAUUUUUAUCAUUAAUGUGGUCACCUCUCAAAAUUCAUGUUAAGAUGCCCUAAUAUGACAGCCCUUGAUGAACUUAUCAGAGAAGUUGAUGUACUUAGCCCACAAUGGCCGGAGCUCGGGGAAUGCUAUAUCUAGCCAUGGCUUUGCUCUGCCAUUGAAAUGGAUGACACCAGCAGUCUCAGCAUCAGCUACACUUGUAUUAUCUUGGUAUCCUAGACCCAGCAUAUGCCAGAAAGGAUCGAUAACGUGGACUUGACCAUGGAAUGCUAUUAGCCCUGGUGGUAAUGUUCCUAGCUGCCACAAGCUGAGGUCUGAUUUCAAGUUCUGCUUGCACAAUACCAUAACAAAAUUGCAAUAUUAGCAGCAAAUUGGCAGUUGAAGAAUUAAGAAAUUCAAUGAGCAAAUCUUGAAAAGCUUAAAGGUAAAAUUAAAUAGAUUACCUCUUCAAGCCAGUAAUGGUAUGUGAGGCUUAUGUUGGUCUUCCUCCAAGCUUCUAAAUCGAAAAUGUUCAUACCAUAUGCCCAGGCACACUCAUUGGGAUCAAAAUUAUUAGCAAUCAAAGGAUGAGAGAAGUUCAAAUAGCUCUUGAACCGCUUCGACAUGACGAAUUUAUCUUCUCCUGUGCAGGUUUCUACAGCCCCAUUGACCUUUCCAUUCAUGUCAAUGUCCCAAAGAGGCGAAAGAUCAGUUUGCACUACUAUAUCAUCGUCAAGAAACACCACCUUGUUUAGACUUGGGAACAACUCCGGAAGAUUAAUUCGGAUGUGAUUCAUCACUGAAUUGUACUUAGGACUAAGUGCUUGUAGCUUAGCAGCGAUAACAACAGGUUUUUCAGUAUUAUUUGCAACAAUUGCUGAAGAACCUCCUCUGAACUGUGACCUUACCCUUUGAUCUUUCUCCAUUGCUUCAAGAACUGGGACUUUACCCUUUGUAAACCAGUCGAAAUGAUGUAAUGCCUUCACCUCAAUUAUUGCAGGCGAUAAAGGGUGCAAGGAGAACCAGGCUUGCAUAGGUGAAUAAGUUUUCCUAUCGGUUAUUAUGUGCAGUACAAAUUUUUGGGGCCGUAAUGCAUUUUGAACAAGCGAAGUGGCGACAACAGAGGCGGCAAGAACGUUGUCUGAGGCGAGUACAAAGUGGAAGUAAGAGUUGUCGACAAGGGCAGGGACAAGUUCGGGCGUUGGGAGCUGAAGGCGGGCGGCUGCAUUGGUGGAGUGCUCAUUGGCCAGCCUAAGAGCAAGGCAGUGCAGCUGUUUUGGUAUGCUGCUUGAUGCUACAUGCCGAUAUAAAUAUUCUUGGAUUUUGGCUGUUCUAGUCCUUUGUUCAAGCAGAGUGACCAUUUCCCUGAGCUUGAGGGCAAAAUCUUUGGCAUCUAAUUUGCUGUCCUUGACUUCCGCCAUAAACUCCUCCAUCGUUUGGGGAAUAUCAUUUCUUCCUUUUAAAGCAUCUUGGCCAAGGGGUUCUUUUAGUACUUGGUAUAUCACUUCUGGGACUGAGUCAAGCCUUCUUCCUAGUAUCCUUGGUCCUAGACUGUUCCCCAAGCAGCCAAGAGUAGAGCACUUGGAUUCUCCAUCAAUGGUGUCGACAGUGGACAAGACGAAGACGAAGCGAAAAAGAAAAGUGAAGAAGAGAAGAGAAUAAAACAGCAUUCGAUAAGAAACCCUUUUACCUCCGACCUUCACUUUGAUAAAUUCUCUAACUCCUUUCCCUGGAAGCAACGUUACAUGCCUCAGACUUGGAGAUAUUUGAAGCUGCAUUGUAUUUCAGAAAGCAGAACCAGAACCACCCCAAGCCAGCUAACUCCCUAGAUUAGUUUAGUUUCUUUCUUCAGGCUAAGGAAGCUUUGGUUGGUUAUUUCGUGAGGCAAUCACUCAAAGAAGAAGUGAGUAGAAUUGCAAGAACCCAAUUAGAGAUAUGCUGUAAAAGGAAGGAAAUGAUUGGCGUUUAAGGUAGCUAUCAGUUACCUAAACUUGCUUCGCAAAUGCGCUAGAUUUUUUGUGUAUUCAAAAUAUUUUUUGGUGUUUAAUAUAGCAGAGGGGAGAAGAGAGUUGUUAAGGAGAAAGAGACAUGGGACUUAGAAGAGGGCUAUGGUUAUCUAGCAAGACUAGCUUAAGGUUUGGGCUUUGGCUUAGCAUUGGACGAGGGAAGUUGAGGCAAAGAAGAGAAGAAGAGCCUGCAAAAAAA